UAACGCUUGUGAACGCAUGAU
rnacentral:piRNA from 1 species